rnacentral:rRNA from 1 species
UUCGCAAUGCCCGAAAGGGUGACGAAGCGACGCCGCGUGUGGGAAGAAGGCCUUCGGGUUGUAAACCACUGUCGGGAGUUAAGAAGUGUAAGGGGGUUAAUAGUCUCCUUGCUUGACGUUAGCUCCGGAGGAAGCCACGGCUAACUCUGUGCCAGCAGCCGCGGUAAUACAGAGGUGGCAAGCGUUGUUCGGAAUUAUUGGGCGUAAAGAGCACGUAGGCGGCCCUGCAAGUCAGCUGUGAAAUCCUUCUGCUCAACGGAAGAACGGCAGUUGAUACUAUAGGGCUCGAGUGCGGGAGGGGAGAGUGGAACUUCUGGUGGAGCGGUGAAAUGCGUAGAUAUCAGAAGGAACAUCGGCGGCGAAGGCGACUCUCUGGCCCGUAACUGACGCUGAGUGUGCGAAAGCUAGGGGAGCAAACGGGAUUAGAUACCCCGGUAGUCCUAGCCGUAAACGAUGGGCACUAAGUAGAGGGGUUUUA